ensembl:misc_RNA Y_RNA Y RNA
GGCUGGUCCUAAGGUACUGAGUUAUCUCAAUUGACUGUUCACAGUCAGUUACAGAUCAACCUCCUCGUUCUACUCUUUCUCUUCUUCCACUACUCCACUUGACUAGUCUGAA